rnacentral:rRNA from 1 species
UGAUACGCGAGGAACCUUGCCUGGGCUAGAACGCAUUCGGAAUCAGGCCGAAAGGCCUGCGCCAGCGAUGGCCGCUUGCGAGGUGCUGCAUGGUUGUCGUCAGCUCGUGCCGUGAGGUGUCGGGUUAAGUCCCAUAACGAGCGCAACCCCUACUGCUAGUUGCCAGCGGGUCAUGCCGGGGACUCUGGCGGAACUGCCAGCGUAAGCUGCGAGGAAGGUGGGGAUGACGUCAAAUCAGCACGGCCCUUACGUCCAGGGCUACACACGUGUUACAAUGGCCGGUACAGAGGGCAGCCACCCCGCGAGGGGGCGCGAAUCCCGAAAGCCGGUCCCAGUUCGGAUCGGAGUCUGCAACCCGACUCCGUGAAGCUGGAUUCGCUAGUAAUCGCGCAUCAGCCACGGCGCGGUGAAUACGUUCCCGGGCCUU